rnacentral:rRNA from 1 species
CAAUAGCGUAUAUUAAAGUUGUUGCAGUUAAAAAGCUCGUAGUUGGAUUUCUGGUAGGAGCGACCAUACCGGACUUGAUUGUCCGCGUAAUGCGUUGUCUCCAGCCAUCCUCGUGGAGAUUGUUUUUGGCAUUAACUUGUCGAAUUCGGGACCCGCGUCAUUUACUGUGAAAAAAUUAGAGUGUUUAAAGCAGGCAAUUGGCUUGAAUACAUUAGCAUGGAAUAAUAAGAUAGGACUUUGGUGCUAUUUUGUUGGUUUGCAUACCAAAUUAAUGAUCAACAGGAACAGUUUGAGGAUAUUCGUAUGAACAUGUCAGAGGUGAAAUUCUUGGAUUUUGAUCAGACGAACUACUGCGAAAGCAUUUAUCAAGGAUGUUUUCAUUAA